rnacentral:rRNA from 1 species
AAAGCCUGAUGCAGCAACGCCGCGUGAGUGAAGAAGGUCUUCGGAUCGUAAAGCUCUGUUGUCGGGGACGAAUGUUGAGACCUAGAACAUAGGUUUCAAAUGACGGUACCUGACGAGGAAGCCACGGCUAACUACGUGCCAGCAGCCGCGGUAAUACGUAGGUGGCAAGCGUUGUCCGGAUUUACUGGGCGUAAAGGAUGUGUAGGCGGAUACUUAAGUGAGAUGUGAAAGCCCCGGGCUCAACCUGGGGACUGCAUUUCAAACUGGGUACCUAGAGUGCAGGAGAGGAAAGCGGAAUUCCUAGUGUAGCGGUGAAAUGCGUAGAGAUUAGGAAGAAGAUCAGUGGCGAAGGCGGCUUUCUGGACUGUAACUGACGCUGAGGCAUGAAAGCGUGGGGAGCAAAC